GUUGCUGUGAGCCGAGUGGCUGAAGGCGGUCCCUGGAAACGGGACGGGUUGAAAGACCUCGAAGGUUCGAAUCCUUCCAGCAACC
rfam:Bacteriophage 44RR2.8t, complete genome.